UACGUAGGGGGCACGCGUUGUCCGGAAUUAUUGGGCGUAAAGCGCGCGCAGGCGGUCGAUUAAGUCUGGUGUAUAAACCGAGGGCUCAACCUUUGGACUCCUUGGAAACUGGUCGACUGGAGUGUAGGAGAGGAAAGUGGAAUUCCACGUGUAGCGGUGAAAUGCGUAGAGAUGUGGAGGAACACCAGUGGCGAAGGCGACUUUCUGGCCUAUAACUGACGCUGAGGCGCGAAAGCGUGGGGAGCAAACAGG
rnacentral:rRNA from 1 species